GAGGGUAUAGCUCAGUGGUGGAGUGAACGCUUAGCAUGCAUGAAGUCCUGGGUUCAAUCCCCAGUACUUUCA
rnacentral:tRNA from 1 species